GAAAGUUGUGUGAUGAGCAAAAGCAUAGUUCAGAUGAAACUCAUUGUGAUUAGUUCAUCUUGUCUUUCGCUCUUAUCUGAUGAGACUCAU